rnacentral:rRNA from 1 species
CGCGAAUGGCUCAUUACAACAGCCUUGGUUUAUUGGAUCUGACUAUCCACUUGGAUAACUGUGGUAAUUCUAGAGCUAAUACACGCUUUCAAGCUCCAACCUAUCAGAAGGAGUGCAUUUAUUAGAACAAAACCAAUCGGCUUCGGCCGUUACUUGGUGAAUCUGAAUAACUCUGCUGAUCGCACAGUCUUUGUACUGGCGACAAAUCUUUCAAGUGUCUGCCUUAUCAACUUUCGAUGGUAGUUUAUACGACUACCAUGGUUCUCACGGGUAACGGAGAAUUAGGGUUCGACUCCGGAGAGGGAGCCUGAGAAAUGGCUACCACAUCCAAGGAAGGCAGCAGGCGCGCAAAUUACCCACUCUCGGCACGAGAAGGUAGUGACGAAAAAUAACGAGAUGGUUCUCUCAGAGGUCCAUCAUCGGAAUGGGUCCAAUCUAAACCCUUUAACGAGGAUCCAUUGGAGGACAAGUCUGGUACCAGCAGCCGCGGUAAUUCCAGCUCCAAUAGCGUAUAUUAAAGUUGUUGCGGUUAAAAAGCUCGUAGUUGGAUCUGCGGUCUUGGACUCUGGUCCCCCACUGGGUGUGUACUAGUUGUCCAGACCUAACUAGCUGGUUUUCUCAUGGUCCUCUUGAUUGAGUGGCCUUGAGUAGCUAGCACGUUUACUUUGAAAAAAUUAGAGUGCUCAAAGCAGGCAAAUGCCUGAAUAGUGGUGCAUGGAAUAAUGGAAUAGGACCUCGGUUCUAUUUUGUUGGUUUUCGGAGCACGAGGUAAUGAUUAAGAGGAACAGACGGGGGCAUUCGUAUUGCGGCGUUAGAAGUGAAAUUCUUGGAUCGCCGCAAGACGGACAACUGCGAAAGCAUUUGCCAAGAAUGUUUUCAUUAAUCAAGAACGAAAGUUAGAGGUUCAAAGGCGAUCAGAUACCGCCC